CGCGUUAAGUCGACCGCCUGGGGAGUACCGCCGCAGGUUAAAACCCAAUGAAUAGACGGGGGCCCGCACAAGCGGUGGAGCAUGUGGUUUAUUUUGAUGCAACGCGAAGAACCUUACCUACUCUUGCCAUCCAGAGAACUUUCAAAAGAUGCCAAUGUGCCUUCGGGACCUCUGAGACAGGUGCUGCAUGGCUGUCGUCAGCUCGUGUUGUGAAAUGUUGGGUUAAGUACCGCAACGAGCGCAACCCCUAUCCUUUGUUGCCAGCGGUUAGGCCGGGAACUCAAAGGAGAAUGCCAGUGAUAAUCUGGAGGAAGGUGGGGAUGACGUCAAGUCAUCCUGGGCCUUACGAGUAGGGCUACCCACGUGCUACAAUGGCGCAUACAAAGAGAAGCGACCUCGCGAGAGCAAGCGGACCUCAUAAAGUGCGUCGUAGUCCGGAUUGGAGUCUGCAACUCGACUUCAUGAAGUCGGAAUCGCUAGUAAUCGUGGAUCAGAAUGCCACGGUGAAUACGUUACCGGGCCUUGUUCACACCGCCCUUCAAAGCAUGGGAGUGGUUGCAAAAGAAGUAGGUAGGCUUAACUUCGGGAAAAAAGCUCCUGGUGCGACGAUUUUAUCAUUCUUUCAAGUGG
rnacentral:rRNA from 1 species